rnacentral:rRNA from 1 species
UACGAAGGGGGCGAGCGUUGUUCGGAUUUACUGGGCGUAAAGGGCGCGUAGGCGGCCCGUUUUGUCAGGCGUGAAAGCCCUGGGCUCAACCUGGGAACUGCGCUUGGGACGGAUGGGCUUGAGAUCGGGAGAGGAGAGUGGAAUUCCCAGUGUAGAGGUGAAAUGCGUAGAUAUCGGGAGGAACACCUGUGGCGAAAGCGGCUCACUGGACCACAACUGACGCUGAGGCGCGAAAGCUAGGGGAGCAAACAGG